GACCCAGUGGCGGACGGUCCGUGUCUGUCCUCAUUGAAUGUCCACAGCGAGUAGUUAAACAGCAGAAGGUGCCCGUUCGACUCGGGCCUGGGUCC